UACGUAGGUGGCAAGCGUUGUUCGGAAUUACUGGGCGUAAAGAGCUUGUAGGCGGUUUGUCGCGUCUGCCGUGAAAAUCCGGGGCUCAACCCCGGACUUGCGGUGGGUACGGGCAGACUAGAGUGUGGUAGGGGAGACUGGAAUUCCUGGUGUAGCGGUGAAAUGCGCAGAUAUCAGGAGGAACACCGAUGGCGAAGGCAGGUCUCUGGGCCACUACUGACGCUGAGAAGCGAAAGCGUGGGGAGCGAACAGG
rnacentral:rRNA from 1 species